CCUACGGGUGGCUGCAGUGGGGAAUAUUGGACAAUGGGCGAAAGCCUGAUCCAGCCAUGCCGCGUGUGUGAAGAAGGCCUUCGGGUUGUAAAGCACUUUCAGUGGGGAAGAAAGCCUUGGGGCUAAUACCCUCGAGGAAGGACAUCACCCACAGAAGAAGCACCGGCUAACUCCGUGCCAGCAGCCGCGGUAAUACGGAGGGUGCGAGCGUUAAUCGGAAUUACUGGGCGUAAAGCGCGCGUAGGCGGUCUGAUAAGCCGGUUGUGAAAGCCCCGGGCUCAACCUGGGAACGGCAUCCGGAACUGGCAGGCUAGAGUGCAGGAGAGGAAGGUAGAAUUCCCGGUGUAGCGGUGAAAUGCGUAGAGAUCGGGAGGAAUACCAGUGGCGAAGGCGGCCUUCUGGACUGACACUGACGCUGAGGUGCGAAAGCGUGGGUAGCAAACAGGAUUAGAUACCCGAGUAGUC
rnacentral:rRNA from 1 species